AAGUCGUAACAAGGUCUCCGUAGGUGAACCUGCGGAGGGAUCAUUACCGAGUGAGGGCCUCCGGGUCCGACCUCCAACCCUUUGUGAACACAUCCCGUUGCUUCGGGGGCGACCCUGCCGGGCGCCCCCGGAGGACCAUCCAACACUGCAUCUUUGCGUCGGAGUUUACGAGUAAAUCGAAACAAAACUUUCAACAACGGAUCUCUUGGUUCUG
rnacentral:misc_RNA from 1 species